GUCCUGACCCUUCGACGUUCGACGAUCCAUCGGCCCCUUACCAGGACCGAUGCACCUACGAGAGUCGAUACUCCUUCGACGUUCGACGAUCCAUCGGCCCCUUACCAGGACCGAUGCACCUACGGGAGUCGAUACUCCUUCGACGUUCGACGAUCCAUCGGCCCCUUACCAGGACCGAUGCACCUACGGGAGUCGAUACUCCUUCGACGUUCGACGAUCCAUCGGCCCCUUACCAGAACCGAUGCACCUAUGGGAGUCGACAGCCCGCCUACGGUCGAACUUUCGGGCAGAUCCAUCGGCCAAUAGACCGAUCGGGCCCGACCAAAGAAAGGCUUAA
rnacentral:lncRNA from 1 species